UAAGACGUAGGGUCCAAGCGUUGUCCGGAUUUACUGGGCGUAAAGAGCGCGUAGGCGGUCUGUUAAGUGUGAAGUGAAAUCUCCAGGGCUCAACCCGGAAACUGCUUCGCAUACUGGCAGACUUGAGGAAUGCAGAGGUUUGUGGAAUUCCUGGUGUAGCGGUGAAAUGCGUUGAUAUCAGGAGGAACACCCAUGGCGAAGGCAGCAAACUGGGCAUUAUCUGACGCUGAGGCGCGAAAGCGUGGGUAGCAAACAGGAUUAGAUACCCUGGUAGUCCACGCCCUAAACGAUGGAUACUAGGCGUAAGAGGUAUCGACCCCUCUUGUGCCGCAGCUAACGCAUUAAGUAUCCCGCCUGGGGAGUACGGCCGCAAGGUUGAAACUCAAAUGAAUUGACGG
rnacentral:rRNA from 1 species